rnacentral:rRNA from 1 species
CUACCCUUGACAUGUCCGGAACUUGCCAGAGAUGGCUUGGUGCCCGAAAGGGAACCGGAACACAGGUGCUGCAUGGCUGUCGUCAGCUCGUGUCGUGAGAUGUUGGGUUAAGUCCCGCAACGAGCGCAACCCUUGUCCUUAGUUGCUACGCAAGAGCACUCUAAGGAGACUGCCGGUGACAAACCGGAGGAAGGUGGGGAUGACGUCAAGUCCUCAUGGCCCUUAUGGGUAGGGCUUCACACGUCAUACAAUGGUCGGUACAGAGGGUUGCCAAGCCGCGAGGUGGAGCCAAUCCCACAAAGCCGAUCGUAGUCCGGAUUGUUCUCUGCAACUCGAGAGCAUGAAGUCGGAAUCGCUAGUAAUCGCAGGUCAGCAUACUGCGGUGAAUACGUUCCC